UGCACGGAGCAUCUCAGUUUGCCUGGGCUAAAGUCACCGCAGCAUUUGACUUCCUCCCUUUCCCAGCUCCUGGCAUGUUUUGGCAGCAGCGUGACUGAAGGAUGAGUACAGUCUAAUUAACUCAGUUGGAACUGCUGCUCAAUAGAGCUGCCACUACUUUUACCUUGUGCACCUUUUGUGUGGAGAUGUGAGGCAGCUGAGUAAAAGGGACAAACAAGUUAAUCUACGUGCAAGAACAAUUAAAAGUGCAUAAAGCUGUCAUCAGCCAUCUUCGUUGAGCAGCAACAUUGCAGGCCAUGCUGUCGUUGCUGCAGGUGUCCUAGCGAGCAGUACAGAAAGACUCCAUGUGUUCUCAUAGACUUUGUCCCAAGGGACCAGCAGACAUCAAAAGAUUUGGAAGCUGACUUAAGCAUCCCAAAGUCUGGACGCUCAUCCAAAUGUAUUCAAACUCCUUUGAUUGGAAAAUCAGGCUGUAAAACUCAUGCAAACAGGC